CAUUACCGAGUUAUUCAACUCAUCAACCCUGUGAACAUACCUAAACGUUGCUUCGGCGGGAAUAGACGGCCCCGUGAAACGGGCCGCCCCCGCCAGAGGACCCUUAACUCUGUUUCUAUAAUGUUUCUUCUGAGUAAAACAAGCAAAUAAAUCAAAACUUUCAACAACGGAUCUCUUGGCUCUGGCAUCGAUGAAGAACGCAGCGAAAUGCGAUAAGUAAUGUGAAUUGCAGAAUUCAGUGAAUCAUCGAAUCUUUGAACGCACAUUGCGCCCGCCAGUAUUCUGGCGGGCAUGCCUGUUCGAGCGUCAUUACAACCCUCAGGCCCCCGGGCCUGGCGUUGGGGAUCGGCGGAGCCUCUCUGUGGGCACACGCCGUCCCCCAAAUACAGUGGCGGUCCCGCCGCAGCUUCCAUCGCGUAGUAGCUAACACCUCGCGACUGGAGAGCGGCGCGGCCACGCCGUAAAACACCCAACUCUUCUGAAGU
rnacentral:rRNA from 1 species